rnacentral:rRNA from 1 species
AUUGAACGCUGGCGGCAGGCCUAACACAUGCAAGUCGAACGAGUGGCGGACGGGUGAGUAAUGUCUGGGAAUCUGCCUGAUGGAGGGGGAUAACUACUGGAAACGGUAGCUAAUACCGCAUACUAUCAGAUGAGCCCAGAUGGGAUUAGCUAGUGGGUGGGGUAAAGGCUCACCAAGGCGACGAUCUCUAGCUGGUCUGAGAGGAUGACCAGCCACACUGGAACUGAGACACGGCCCAGACUCCUACGGGAGGCAGCAGUGGGGAAUAUUGCACAAUGGGCGCAAGCCUGAUGCAGCCAUGCCGCGUGUAUGAAGAAGGCCUUCGGGUUGUAAAGUACUUUCAGCGGGGAGGCGUUACCCGCAGAAGAAGCACCGGCUAACUCCGUGCCAGCAGCCGCGGUAAUUC